CACGAACGCUGGCGGCAGGCUUAACACAUGCAAGUCGAGCGCCCCGCAAGGGGAGCGGCAGACGGGUGAGUAACGCGUGGGAAGCUACCCAUCUCUACGGAAUGACGCCUGGAAACGUGUGCUAAUACCGUAUACGUCCUUCGGGAGAAAGAUUUAUCGGAGAUGGAUGAGCCCGCGUUGGAUUAGCUAGUUGGUGGGGUAAAGGCCUACCAAGGCGACGAUCCAUAGCUGGUCUGAGAGGAUGAUCAGCCACACUGGGACUGAGACACGGCCCAGACUCCUACGGGAGGCAGCAGUGGGGAAUAUUGGACAAUGGGCGCAAGCCUGAUCCAGCCAUGCCGCGUGAGUGAUGAAGGCCCUAGGGUUGUAAAGCUCUUUCACCGGUGAAGAUAAUGACGGUAACCGGAGAAGAAGCCCCGGCUAACUUCGUGCCAGCAGCCGCAGUAACAC
rnacentral:rRNA from 1 species